AAUUGCUAGUAAUGGCAGGUCAGCAUACUGCCGUGAAUACGUUCCCGGGCCUUGUACACACCGCCCGUCACACCAUGAGAGUUGGGGAUACCCAAAGCCCGUGAGCCAACAUUUAAUGAGGCAGCGGUCUAAGGUAGAAUCAAUGAUUGGGGUGAAGUCGUAACAAGGUAGC
rnacentral:rRNA from 1 species